AUGUCCCUAAAUUGGUGAAAGAUUAAUUGCCUGAAGGUGAGCUCGCGUCAGAUUAGCUAGUAGGUGGUGUAAGGGACUACCUAGGCAUUGAUCUGUAGCUGGUCUGAGAGGACGAUCAGCCACACUGGAACUGAGACACGGUCCAGACUCCUACGGGAGGCAGCAGUGGGGAAUUUUCCGCAAUGGGCGAAAGCCUGCCUCCUACGGAGCAAUACCGCGUGAUGGCCCCGAAUUUACCGAAGCCUAAUCCUUUAGGUCCCGCCAAUUUCUUUAUUAGGGAAGAAAUAGACGGUACCUAAUGAAUAAGCAUCGGCUAACUCCGUGCCAGCAGCCGCGGUAAUACGGAGGAUGCAAGCGUUAUCCGGAAUGAUUGGGCGUAAAGCGUCCGCAGGCGGUUUUGUAAGUCUGCUGUCAAAGCGUUAGGCUUAACCUAAUAAAGGCAGUGGAAACUAUGAGACUAGAGUACGUUAGGGGUAGAGGGAAUUCCCAGUGUAGCGGUGAAAUGCGUAGAGAUUGGGAAGAACACCGGUGGCGAAAGCGCUCUGCUAGGACUGUACUGACGCUG
rnacentral:rRNA from 1 species